rnacentral:rRNA from 1 species
GUGGGGAAUAUUGGACAAUGGGGGGAACCCUGAUCCAGCCAUGCCGCGUGUGUGAAGAAGGCCUUUUGGUUGUAAAGCACUUUAAGCGAGGAGGAGGCUACCGAGAUUAAUACUCUUGGAUAGUGGACGUUACUCGCAGAAUAAGCACCGGCUAACUCUGUGCCAGCAGCCGCGGUAAUACAGAGGGUGCAAGCGUUAAUCGGAUUUACUGGGCGUAAAGCGCGCGUAGGUGGCCAAUUAAGUCAAAUGUGAAAUCCCCGAGCUUAACUUGGGAAUUGCAGUCGAUACUGGUUGGCUAGAGUAUGGGAGAGGAUGGUAGAAUUCCAGGUGUAGCGGUGAAAUGCGUAGAGAUCUGGAGGAAUACCGAUGGCGAAGGCAGCCAUCUGGCCUAAUACUGACACUGAGGUGCGAAAGCAUGGGGAGCAAACAGGAUUAGAAACCCUAGUAGUCC